AUGCUCAAAAAGGUCAAUUGGGAAGAAGCUUGAAUUCUCGCUUGGCUAGGUUGCUUAAAGGAGCUAGUAUGGAUCAAAGGAUCGCAAAGCUUGCGCCAUCUUCUAUUGGCUCGAUAAGUGAUGGAAGAGCUGAAAAACAAAGAGAGUUUUCAAAUAAGCUGGAGGGAAAAUCAUAUGCCAAAGAAGUGGAAAAAACAGGCCUUCAUUCAAAGCCAAAGGUAAACUUUAAAUUGUUUAGAAUUUUGUCACUCAUGUCUUAUUGUAGGCAAUUAAAUGAAGCACCUCUAUUUUGUUUGCAUUUACUCAAUCUAAACGGCAAUUAUAGGGGCCAUGGGAUAUCAAAGAAUCUUUUAGAUAAGGUAUGCCUUACAACAAUAACUCAAGAACUAGUUUCUUAGCGAAGGGCAUUUCCCUUUGGAAUAUAUCCUCCCAUGAGUUCGAAGGGAAAUAUAUAGAUACAUUGAAAUUGAAUCUACCAUGAGGAGUCAUCGGGGAAUAAACACGGAGUUUCCUUUUAUAUUGGCAAAAGCUAUAUAUACAAUUGACAAAUGUAUUGGUAGACACAUUUUCUUUCUGAUAUAUCUGGAAUAGUGGGGCUAAACAAGCUAUAUUACUCAAUAUAUGUUCUCUCUUCCGUUUUAUUUCUACUUCAAAUUACAAUUCUAAACUUCUAAGAUCAAGGAACAGAUCAACUUAGAGUAGAUUUCUACUGAUACAAGUGCGAGAUAAGUAGAUAAUGGUUGGUGAUCACUGGAUGGGCCAAUUGUUCCGUUCUUUGGUGUUAAAAUUGAAAUUGAUUGAUUGUCAAGUGGGCAUCAGAGUGAGUGAGUCACAUAUUCUGUAUUGACUUUUAGGGUUCAUUUGGUUGGCCAGGUUAAACAUGAGAUUGGAUUACCAUUCCGGUGGGUGAUAGUUUCUAGAUUUGGAAUGCAACAAUUGACUGAGAGAUUACUUGUCCUUUUUAUGAAACCGAUCCUACAAACCAUGCAAUAUACAAUACCUUGGGAGAUGUGUUUUAGAUCAUUCUGCACUCACAUGAAUCUGCGGAACUUUUGCAGAGAAGUGAUUGUGAUGGCUAGGACAAAUGCACCUCUUUAUGUUGUAUAUAUCUUGUGGUUUUUUUCUACAUGUCCAUCUUGAUAGAUAGUGACAUUUCGAAAAUCGGCAGACUUGAGUAAAAGUUCUUGAUAGCUUUGUUAUGUAAGACUACGAAAUAUUGGUCAGUUUUAGUGGUCCUAUGAUGAUGUCAUUUUGACUGCGCCUUGUAAAUCUAUGAAAAGAUAGCUAAAGUCAGAUACUUUCCAUGGUCCGCGAAAUUCUUAAUGUUGAUUCCAAUUGUGUUGUAGGGUCAAGUAACAAACCCAAGCCCUUAAAUUACUUGUAAAGUUUUGAUUCUGAUCCUCCUUAGACCCUGCAGUAUCAGGACCUCAUUGGCACUUUUCUAAAUUCCAGGUCUGAUACUCCUAGAAAAUAGGAAAAUUUCAGGUAAGUUAUGCUUCUUGUCACAAGACAAAAAGAAAGCAAGAGAAAAAGAUAUAUAGAGAUGGAGAGAAAGAUAAGCAUAGGAUUAGUUAGUUCAUUCAUGAUAACAUUUGGCUUUUCUAAUGACUUUGUUUUCUUUUUUCUGGGACAAGUCCAAAAUGAUCCCACUGAUACAACCUUAGUUCGCCUAGUCACACCAUAAACCAGACCCCCUACUAGAGUCACUUCGCACCAGCGCAAGUAAAGUCUCUGGCUUUCAACUGCGGGGAUCUAAUGACUUUCUUUGCUUAUUUCCCUUUCAUUCCCUCUAAACUUACAUGAGAUAUCCGAUGCAAGAGGGAACCAAGAAUCAACACCAUCUUCGACCAAAAAUGCAGAGGUGAAAUAUUCACUGGCAAGUAUCCAGGUUAAUUGAAGGCAUAAGUUCCUUUAUCUGAAAUUGGGACAUGGGCCUGUUUAACAAUGAUGCAAUAUGGUAUUCUUAUUAUGCAUAUCCUUUUCGGUAGGUAUAUGUCCUUUGUAGGUCGAAGAUACAUCACUACUUUACUUUAAGUGCUUGUAGGAGACAAAUGGUGCAUGCGUGGACCAGAGGCCGGUUUAGGAUGCCUUUGAGGGGCUGAACUGGAGAAGGCGCAAGAUUAGCAGUUGGUCUCUUUUUAGCCAUAUCUUUUGAGCGAAACUUAGCCUAAAGAUUUUAUUUUGUUUGAGUUUUUGAUUUUGCAUUAGUGAGUUCUCUAAAUCUAUUUGUUAAAUUGUCAAUUAUCUUCAUUACAUACACAAUCUCUUCUACCUGAUCCGUAGCCAAGUACACAAGUUUGUUUUGGUGUGAUUCAUUUGA